CUGAAGGCUUAACAGCCAGUUCAGAGGAGGCUCCUGGACAAUUGUACACCCUGAGAAAACAAUAAAAGCAAAAGUGAGAGCAGAUUUUACACUUGCUCAGACGGUUGACGGCAGCAGCAGCAGAAAAAGUAGCCAACAACUUUCUGACAGCUGGUGUCCAGAAAGCCAGUUUAAGUUGCCCCGAGCAUCGACAGUAGAGAAGUGACUGAAGAUGGCGAGUCCUACAAGGCCACUGGAGAAGCAACAGGCGAUGAACACAACUGUUCCUGUUCCGAUGGUCACCACGGCAGAGCAUGAAUAGCACCGGACGCACCUAAAACUCAGAGCUACAGCAGUCAAGCAACCACAAACAGUCUCGGUUCAAUUUAUGCUUUCUUUAUUUCUUUAUGUUUUCACAGAGGGUAGCAAGGUAAAAACAAGUAAAAUAAAAUAAAUGUAAUAAAAUAUACCUGUAUUCAACAUGAUUUUAUAUAAACAUAUU